rnacentral:pre_miRNA from 1 species
CCUCGUAGCAGUGUUCCGGAAUCCUAUGUGAGGGACAAAUAUUUAGACCCUCGUAGCAGUAUUCUGGAAUCCUAUGUGAUGGA